UCAGAUAAAAGAAAGAGGCAGAGGGAGGAACUAAAAAAGGGUUUCUGAGGGUGGUUGCCGCCUCUCCAUGCCAAUGAUUUCUAUGAAAAAUCCAACAACCCUCUCUUAUAUACAUAUAUAUGUAUGUAUAUGUAUAUAUGCGCAUGCAUCAAAACAUAGCUGCGUUAUCUAUCGAUAUACUUUUUUUUUUUUUUUGAAAGGCGAAUUUAAGUUGUUAUUCUCCUGAGCUUUGAACUCGGGUUCUCACUGGACCAGAACCUAUAUAUAUAUAUAUCGUUUCUAAUUUUUAUUGUUAUUAUUAUUAUUAUUAUUAUUAUUGUACCUCCAAACCCUAAGAAGAGAGGCUGUGAUGAUUUAUUUAAUAUCUGAGUCGAAAAAUCGGGACAAAGUUUGAGAUUAUUCGUAUCUUGGCGGGGCAUAAUAUUAUAAUCAGAAGAUGGCUAUUAAGUUCUUUUUUAGCAACUUCUGUUUAUUAUUAUUAUUAUUAUUAUUAUUGCAGCCAUGGCGUUUUUAGUCCACCUUGUUCUGACUGUAAAACAGAUCUGAGCCCUCAUUUUCUUACAUUCAUUUAUAUAUAUAAUAUUAAAGUGGAGAACAUGCUUUUGAUUUGUGGUUGAGCUUUUGCUAGUGAAUUAGGAUCAUAUUUUACAAACAAAUGUCUGAGAUUGUAUGCAGGACUGGAUCGACUGUAUUUCGCAGGGUUUUGAGCAGUGAUUUGGGUUCUAGGAGAUUUCCGAUGUGUCCUCCCUUGUUUGCGACUGUGAUAGGUCAGGCUGUAGUUCCAGAUGAGUCUUCUUGUUGACUGAUGGUGAGCGUCAGGUCUGUUUGUGGCCAUUGAUGGAGUUUUGCUUAGUUAAUUUGCAAGCAUUUGCGGGAAUGUAGAUCUUUGGUACCUCUGUCACCUAACAAGUGUAGUUUCGUGGUGAUCUGAAUAUUUGAUUUUUGAUGCUUAAAAAUAUUCCCGUCUUUUUUAAACUUUUAUAUAGUUUUUGUGGAACUAAAGAGCACAAACAAGACAAUUUGUGAGAUAUAUGUGACGCACCUGGAGCAAGUACCAAUGAAAGUGACGAUCUUAGAGUGAGAUUCUUCAAGGUCCAAUCCAUUGUCUUUUAAAGUUUCCCAUGUUUUAUAAUGUGAUAUUUAUAAGCUUGUUGUGAAUGAUUAAUUACUACGAACUGAGCAAGGUUAUGCACUACUCUGAUUCUUGCAGUCUUUUGUUUUAGAUGACCCUGAUAGAAUCCUUUGUCAAACUUGCAAACUCUGAGAACUAGAGAAACGUAAUUUUUUUGUUCGAUUGCAUGCUAGUUCAUUAUCUUUUUAAGUUCA